rnacentral:rRNA from 1 species
UACGUAGGGUGCGAGCGUUAAUCGGAAUUACUGGGCGUAAAGCGUGCGCAGGCGGUUUUGUAAGUCAGAUGUGAAAUCCCCGGGCUUAACCUGGGAACUGCGUUUGAAACUACAAGGCUAGAGUGUAGCAGAGGGGGGUGGAAUUCCACGUGUAGCAGUGAAAUGCGUAGAGAUGUGGAGGAACACCGAUGGCGAAGGCAGCCCCCUGGGUUAACACUGACGCUCAUGCACGAAAGCGUGGGGAGCAAACAGG